UUGCCAGACUCCUACGGGAGGCAGCAGUGGGGGAUAUUGCACAAUGGGGGAAACCCUGAUGCAGCGACGCCGCGUGUGGGAAGACGGUCUACUGGAUUGUAAACCCCUGUCCCCAGGGACGAAAAUGACGGUACCUGGGGAGGAAGCUCCGGCUAACUACGUGCCAGCAGCCGCGGUAAUACGUAGGGAGCAAGCGUUGUCCGGAAUUACUGGGUGUAAAGGGAGCGUAGGCGGGGAUGCAAGUUGGGUGUCAAAACUACCGGCUCAACCGAUAGUCGCACUCAAAACUGCAACUCUUGAGUGAAGGAGAGGCAGGCGGAAUUCCUAGUGUAGCGGUGAAAUGCGUAGAUAUUAGGAGGAACACCAGUGGCGAAGGCGGCCUACUGGACGGUGACUGACGCUGAGGCUCGAAAGCGUGGGGAGCAAACAGGAUUAGAUACCCGUGUA
rnacentral:rRNA from 1 species